rnacentral:misc_RNA from 1 species
GAGAUUGGCUACAGGAGAGCCACUCCGAGAAGUGUCUAGGCGAUUUGGGUUAGGUAUAUCUACUUGUCAUAAGCUCGUGCUCGAGGUAUGCACAGCUAUAAGAGGGGUGUUAAUGGCGAAAUUCAUACAAUGGCCUGAUGAACUUAAGAUGGAGGAAAUUAAACACGAGUUUGAAAUCCUUUCCGGGAUAGAAAAUGUAGGUGGAUCAAUGUACACGACACAUGUACCAAUUAUCGCGCCUAAGGAAAGUGUCGCGAGUUACUUCAACAAAAGGCAUACUGAGAGGAAUCAGAAGACAUCUUACUCCGUUACAGUACAAGGGGUUGUUGAUCCAAAGGGGAUUUUCACAGAUGUUUGUAUAGGAUGGCCUGGUUCGAUGACAGAUGAUCAAGUCUUGGAAAAAUCGAUACUUUAUGAAAGAGCAAACAGAGGAAACUUGAAUGGUACUUACAUUGUUGGGAGUUCAGGAUUUCCAUUAACGGAUUGGAUUUUAGUUCCGUUUACUCAUCAGAAUGUUACAUGGACACAACAUGCUUUUAAUGAGAAAGUGAAUGAUGUUCAAAGAGUUGCCAAAGAAGCGUUUAUGAGAUUGAAAGCAAGAUGGAGUUGUUUAAAGAAAAGAACAGAAGUGAAACUUCAAGAUUUGCCUGUUGUUCUUGGAGCUUGUUGUACACUUCACAAUAUCUGUGAGAUUAGAGGUGAAGAAUUACGUCAAGAAUUAAGGUUCGAUUUGGUUGAUGAUGAAAUGAUCCCGGAAGUUGUUGUGAGAUCAAUGAACGCGAUGAAAGUAAGAGAUCAGAUUGCUCACAAACUAUUACAUCAUAAUCACUCAGGGACUAGUUUUCUAUGAUGAAAUAUGGAAAUUCAAGAUUUAGUUUACAUGUUUUAGAGCUUGAAUAUUAGGGGUAAUUCUUUUACAUGGUUUAUUUGAGUCAUGUUAUAGAAUAAGUUAUUAUUGAUCUUCAUAGAAGAUUUGCUUUUCCAUUUCAAGUAUUUCAUAUUGUUUAGGACAUUAUGAAUUGGACUCAAUUCUUUAUCAAAG